rnacentral:rRNA from 1 species
UACGUAGGUGGCAAGCGUUGUCCGGAUUUACUGGGCGUAAAGGGCGCGUAGGCGGCGCGGUAAGUCACUUGUGAAAUCUCUGAGCUUAACUCAGAACGGCCAAGUGAUACUGCAGUGCUAGAGUGUGGAAGGGGCAAUCGGAAUUCUUGGUGUAGCGGUGAAAUGCGUAGAUAUCGAGAGGAACACCUGAGGUGAAGACGGGUUGCUGGGCCAACACUGACGCUGAGGCGCGAAAGCCAGGGGAGCAAACGGG